UGGGGAAUAUUGGACAAUGGGCGAAAGCCUGAUCCAGCCAUGCCGCGUGAGUGAUGACGGCCCUAGGGUUGUAAAGCUCUUUCGCCGGUGAAGAUAAUGACGGUAACCGGUAAAGAAGCCCCGGCUAACUUCGUGCCAGCAGCCGCGGUAAUACGAAGGGGGCUAGCGUUGUUCGGAAUUACUGGGCGUAAAGCGCACGUAGGCGGAUAUUUAAGUCAGGGGUGAAAUCCCGGGGCUCAACCCCGGAACUGCCCUUGAUACUGGAUGUCUGGAGUUCGAGAGAGGUGAGUGGAAUUCCGAGUGUAGAGGUGAAAUUCGUAGAUAUUCGGAGGAACACCAGUGGCGAAGGCGGCUCACUGGCUCGAUACUGACGCUGAGGUGCGAAAGUGUGGGGAGCAGACAGGAUUAGAUACCCCCGUAGUCC
rnacentral:rRNA from 1 species